AAAAAAAAAAAAAAAACCAAAAUGAUAUAAAAAGAUAAGAAAAUUAAUUGAAUAGUCCGCCAAUCAAAUAAAAAGAAUAAGAAAUUUCAAACAAACAAACAAAAAUCAGAACUUUCUGAUAUUUUUUUUUUCCUCAAACAACAAAUUAACUUGCAAAUUUAAAUAAUGUAUUAAGUAGUUCAUGUUCCCUAGCUUAAAAUUUAAACUAAAAUUGGAGAUUCAGAGAUAACUGGAAAAAAAUUGUUGAAAUAUGUUGAUUUGUUUGACGAAAGAAAACUUCAGGGAAAAUUUUGUUCAUUUGAAAUCCUUUUUAAAAGUUGAGCACUUUUAGAAGUAUUAGACUUGAUUUAAAAAAAAAGGUUUAUUGUAAAGAAGGGUAUACUUUUGGGACUUCAAAUGUUGUUAUCCACUCCCACAAAAU
rnacentral:misc_RNA from 1 species